rnacentral:rRNA from 1 species
GAUGAACGCUGGCGGCGUGCCUAAUACAUGCAAGUCGAGCGAACAGACGAGGAGCUUGCUCCUCUGACGUUAGCGGCGGACGGGUGAGUAACACGUGGAUAACCUACCUAUAAGACUGGGAUAACUUCGGGAAACCGGAUCUAAUACCGGAUAAUAUAUUGAACCGCAUGGUUCAAUAGUGAAAGACGGUUUUGCUGUCACUUAUAGAUGGAUCCGCGCCGCAUUAGCUAGUUGGUAAGGUAACGGCUUACCAAGGCAACGAUGCGUAGCCGACCUGAGAGAGUGGUCGGCCACACUGGAACUGAAACACGGUCCAGACUCCUACGGGAGGCAGCAGUAGGGAAUCUUCCGCAAUAGGCGAAAGCCUGGCGGAACAACGCCGCGUGAGUGAUAGAGGUCUUCGGAUCGUGAAACUCUGUUAUUGGGGAAGAACAGAUGUGUAAGUAACUAUGCACGUCUUGACGGUACCUAAUCAGAAAGCCACGGCUAACUACGUG